UACGUAGGGGGCUAGCGUUGUCCGGAAUCAUUGGGCGUAAAGAGCGCGUAGGCGGCCCGGUAAGUCCGCUGUGAAAGUCCAGGGCUCAACCCUGGAAUGCCAGUGGAAACUGUCGGGCUAGAGUACGGAAGAGGCGAGUGGAAUUCCUGGUGUAGCGGUGAAAUGCGCAGAUAUCAGGAAGAACACCUAUGGCGAAGGCAGCACUCUGGGCCGGUACUGACGCUGAGGAGCGAAAGCGUGGGGAGCAAACAGG
rnacentral:rRNA from 1 species